rnacentral:rRNA from 1 species
UACGUAGGGUGCGAGCGUUGUCCGGAAUUACUGGGCGUAAAGAGCUCGUAGGUGGUUUGUCGCGUUGUUCGUGAAAACCGGGGGCUUAACCCUCGGCGUGCGGGCGAUACGGGCAGACUGGAGUACUGCAGGGGAGACUGGAAUUCCUGGUGUAGCAGUGGAAUGCGCAGAUAUCAGGAGGAACACCGGUGGCGAAGGCGGGUCUCUGGGCGGUAACUGACGCUGAGGAGCGAAAGCGUGGGGAGCGAACAGG